rnacentral:rRNA from 1 species
GGAGCGCUCCUGAUAAGAAUGAGAGAGUUUUGGAGNUAAUUAAGCGUAUUAAUGCCUGCGGAUGGAGCGCAAGGAACGCCUUUCUCGCAUUCUAUAUUUAUGCCUGUAUUCUACGCUUGUUUGUUAUAUACUAUUAGUGGGGCGGCACGCCAGCCUGCCGAGUGAAACCAUUACAACCUAUUUAUUUUCAAUCACGACUGAAAAAAUAGUAUUACAACUUUCAACAACGGAUCUCUUGGUUCUGGCAUCGAUGAACAACGCAGCGAAAUGCGAUAAGUAGUGUGAAUUGCACAAUUCACUGAAUCAUCGAAUCUUUGAACGCACAUUGCGCCCCUUGGUAUUCCAUGGGGCAUGCCUGUUCGAGCGUCAUUUGUACCUUCAAGCUUUGCUUGCUGUUGGGUGUUUGUCCCGAGGAACUCGUCUUAAAGUAAUUGCCCGCCCGUGUUUGGUUUUGAAGCGCAGCACAAGUCGCGAUUCAAGGCUACACGCCGGCUUCCACCAGACUUUUUUACUUUUCACCUCGGAUCAGGUAGGGAUACCCGCUGAACUUAACCAUAUCAAUAAGCGGAGGAAACAUCAGAUCAGGUAGAAGUAACCAAUUGAACUUGAACUUAUCAUAAUCCAUAAGGAAGAUCUAUCCUCCUUUAUUCUAUUCCUUUAGAACAUCGAACUAUUCUCCUUCCUAUUUACCUCUUCAAAUAUAUCAUACAUACAUUCUAUAAACAUGAUCCCAAUUCUACCUAAACUAAAUCACUUUCCAAUCUUAUUUAAUUUCACACUUUAUUCACUCCCCUUUAUAUUAUUUCCUUAACGUAUCCUUCAUUAAGUAAUGAACUUA